rnacentral:lncRNA from 7 species
AUAUAUCGGACAGUCCCGAGCCAGUGGAUCAGGCAAACGAUUUCAGAACCCUGGCUUUCUUAAGGAAAGUUGUGGAACAAUCUAUGGAUCUGAAACGUCAAUCCUAACCACCUAACACCUACAAAAUGUAACGGUGGGAAAAAGAAAGAUGACCCACACUGACAGACACAGUCCUCCUCAUCAGGGACAUAAUAGGAACCACCAAAGAUAGCCUAAAGCAAAUGGUAAAGAAAGGCUCCCACACAGCUCUCAGUUUUGUCAUAAUAUGAAUGGCGUCUUCAAUCAAAUGACCACCGUAAUCACAUAUUGCUCCAAGAACACAGCAACUAUAAUUGUUUAGCAUCAGAAGUGAUCAAAUGUGUGAUAUAAUUUGAAACUGCACAAUAUUUUUUUUUCUGAAAAGCUAUGAAAUCCAGCAAUUAGAAUGAUUUAAAUAUUAUUCCAGAAUUAUGUCACUGUUUUGUAAGAAGGAUUUUAAACGAGAUUUUUUCUUCCUGACUCUUUCAAAAUUUCCAGUGUUUUUACACCAGAAGCUAACAACUCUUUCUUCCCCCAUCCUCUCCCAUAAAGACAUAGGGGCGUUUUCAAGAUAGCCCACUCUUCAGUCUGGACUCCAGCCAUUUUAAAUACUGAUUGCCACCUACACAUUCCCACCAUUGCUGUCAACAGAAGAUCUGCUAUCUGUAGGAUGGAUGCUAUCCAAAAGAAGGCUUUAAGUUUUAAUAUUGUUUAUAUCCUUUCUUUUGAUACAUAUACAUGUACACAUACAUAUUCAGCCUAUUGAAAAAUUUCUGAUUCUGCUUUCUUUGGGGUCCUCAUGGAUGAUGGCAUUUGUGAAGGCAGGUGUCUCCUUCUCAGUUGGCCAGGUAAAACUUCACUAAGUUCCUGUGGGAAUGUCAAGCAUUACAGUCUUAAAAAUUGGGGAUUAAAAUGAUGAGAAAAGUAAAGUAAAAUUCAUUCAUUAUGUCUGACAUCAAGUAAAUGCUAAAAAGCAGAAACAG